AACGAACGCUGGCGGCAGGCUUAACACAUGCAAGUCGAACGCACCUUUCGGGGUGAGUGGCAGACGGGUGAGUAACGCGUGGGAAUCUACCCUUCUCUACGGGAUAGCUCCGGGAAACUGGAAUUAAUACCGUAUACGUCCUGAGGGAGAAAGAUUUAUCGGGGAAGGAUGAGCCCGCGUUGGAUUAGCUAGUUGGUGGGGUAAAGGCCUUCCAAGGCGACGAUCCAUAGCUGGUCUAAGAGGAUGAUCAGCCACAUUGGGACUGAGACACGGCCCAAACUCCUACGGGAGGCAGCAGUGGGGAAUAUUGGACAAUGGGCGCAAGCCUGAUCCAGCCAUGCCGCGUGAGUGAUGAAGGCCCUAGGGUUGUAAAGCUCUUUCAGGGGGGACGAUAAUGACGGUACCCACAGAAGAAGCCCCGGCUAACUUCGUG
rnacentral:rRNA from 1 species